UACGUAGGGACCGAGCGUUGUCCGGAAUCAUUGGGCGUAAAGAGCGUGUAGGCGGCCAAUUAAGUCCUGCGUGAAAUCUCGGGGCUCAACCCCGAGCGGUCGUGGGAAACUGGUUGGCUAGAGUGCGGGAGAGAAGAGUGGAAUUCCUGGUGUAGCGGUGAAAUGCGCAGAUAUCAGGAAGAACACCCGUGGCGAAGGCGGCUCUCUGGAACGCAACUGACGCUGAGGCGCGAAAGCUAGGGGAGCAAACAGG
rnacentral:rRNA from 1 species